CCUACUUGUCUUGAAGAGAUGAGAAGUUUUCUUUUUCUUCUAGAUAAAGGUGUUGCUGCUUAAUUAACCUGACAACAUGAUGGCGCAUGCAGAAUCUGUACUGAAAAAUCUGUGUGGAGCUCUCAUUUCCUCCCCAAACUCCAUUUGGAUACGGACUUUUAGCCUGGUCCUUGUUGCCAAGCACUGUGAUAAGGUGGCGCCUUGGCACUUAGAGUGAGAGGUGACCGACGACGUCUGGCUUUGAUUGCCUGUUUGGAAUGGAAACAGAAGGUGCAGGAGAGGCGGGGCUGAGCUGUGGCCGAUUGCAAGGAGUAUUCACAUCACAGGGCUUUCCUUUGAAACAAUAAUAAAGGGAAAAGCACUGAGCAAAAAAAAAAAAAUAGAGUCUUUCAACUGGCCACACAGCCCAGAAACACAGAGCUGACUUCUAACUGCACCCUAGAGUCAAGGUCUUCAGUUUAAUCUCAGCUUUGGAAUGGAAGCAGUGAAACUGAAGAGUGUGUCCCCACCUUAUAAAUAACAAUAAUAGCAGCAGCAAUAAUAAUGACAUAGUUCUGGGAACACUUAGAGAUGGUUAACCAUGUACUUGAAUAUGGGAUUUCAUUAUGUUUUAUCUCGUGUUCCCUCAGGCAGACACUGGCGUAUAGGAUGGAGCCCUCCUCUUAGUCAAAUCUGGAAUCUAGUUCCUCAAGCAGUUGGAGUCAUAGAAAUUUAGACUGGAAGAAACCUCAUGUGGCCGGACUACUCUACACUAGUUCUCUGACUCUCGUUUUGACAUUGAAAAGAGGCCACAGAAACCGGUUGAUGCUUACCCCACUACGGUACUAAGAUAUAAUUGACAAGAAAUGCUAAACUCACCAGAGU